ensembl:lncRNA
GAAGCAUCCCUGGCUCCAGGCCCCACUCCAAGUCUGGGUGCCCCGCCCCAGUCCUCUCCUCCCAUCCCGGGGCCUCCCCAGCUCUGAUGGGGGCGGGGCUGAGGGAGCCAGGAAGGAGGAGACCAGAUUCCUUCCCGUCCCGCUGGGGCCUGAAGCUUCAGCUCUGGUUUGACCAGGCUCUGGCAGCCUAAAUCUCUCCAUCCCUAGGGCAGGGCGUUGAGCCAGUUCACGGGUCAGCCCCCAUCUGCUGCUGCCUCCCUCUUUUCCCCCCUGCUGCCUCCACAAUCCCAGAGGAGGGGUGAGGACAUCAAGAGGCUGGGACCAGCAGGGAAGACCCCCACGGAGGGGUGGGGCUGGCCAAAGGUGCCCUUGGGGAAGCAAACAACCCUGCCUACCUCCCCCUCCAGGCAGCCCCAGCCAAUCGAUCCUGUGAUUGCCCAAUGGGUAUUGACCGAGGGCCUGAGGGUCAGGGUCGCUGGUGCAGAAGAGACUGGGCAGAGGGAGGCCUGCCCCAUCGUCCACACCCUCCCUCACCUAACCCAAAAGGAGUAACCGAUGCCACCAGAGGCUGGAACUGGUGCUGCACGCGGGAUGAGGGCGCCACCGUGUGUCCAGCUUGGAGCAGUGUGGUCGCAGGCUUGAGCCCAGUGUCUGCCCUGCUGACAGCCACUUACAGAGCGCCUGCCGUCCACCAGUCACUCCACACACAUCAGUCCUCUUUUUCAUGGCCGCAAUAUAAAGAGGGGAUUACUAUCCAGAUUUUCAGGUGAGGAGACUGAGGCUCAGACCUUGCCAAUGUCACCCAGCCCUCAGCUGCCGCCCACUCCAAAGUCACACCCACGCCAUGCUGUGGACAAAACCCAGACCUGUGCAUGGGUCUGGGUGCGAGCAUUCAGACUUCUCAGGGUGUCCUGUUUCCUCUUCUGUAAAGGGGGGAAGGUGCCAACGACUGCCCCUGCCAGGUGGCGCCUUCCCCGUCUCUGGCCCUGAGAGAAACCUGCAGACCCCUGAGGCCCGUGGGUCUUGGGGGAAUGAAUUUUUGGGAAACACAAUUCUGGGUACUUUCCAAACAUUAGUCUUUUUGAAUAUUUUGGUGUUCAUUGUUUUUCUCUAAACAUUUGCAUAUGUGUGAACUAUUUGGUGAUUUAAAAACCAUACUUACUGGGUUAAAACUUUAUGUAGGGCUGAGUGCGGUGGCUCAUGCCUGUAAUCUCAGCCCUUUGGGAUGCCGCGGUGGGUGGAUCAUUUGAGGUCAGGAGUUUGAGACCAGCCUGGCCAACAUGGUGAAACCCUGUCUCUACUGAAAAUACAAAAAUUAGCCGGCUGUGGUGGUGGGUGCCUGUAAUUCCAGCUACUUGGGAGGCUGAGGCAGGAGAAUCACUUGAACUGGGGAAGUGGAAGUUGCAGUGAGCUGAGACUGUGCCACUGCACUUGAGCCUGGGCGAUGGAACGAGACUCUGUCUCAAAAAGCAACAUAAAACAAAACGAAACCAACUUUAUGUAGGCCUCCAGUUCGCCUCUAAAAGACGACAGCUGGCUGGGCGCAGUGGCUCACACCUGUAAUCCCAGCACUUUGGGGAAACCAAGGCAGGAGGUUCAUUUGAGACAAGGGCUUUGAGACUAGUCUGGGCAACAUAGUGAGACCCUGUCUCUAUUAAGAAAAAAAAAAAAAGGCCCGGCACCGUGGCUCACGCCUGUAAUCCCAGCACUUUGGGAAGGCCGAGGCGGGCGGAUCACGAGGUCAGGAGAUCAAGACCAUCCUGGCUAACACAGUGAAACCCCGUCUGUAGUAAAAAUACCAAAAGAAAUUAGCCGGGCGUGGUGGCAGGCACCUGUAGUCCCAGCUACUGGGGAG